rnacentral:lncRNA from 1 species
UCACCUUGAUAGAAUAAAGAAUGUGGAUGUGUUUGCGUCACCCACGGUGGAAGACCAGACAUAUCACAAAUAUAAUAUUGUAACACCCAAUCUACAAAAUAUUAUAAAAAAUUAUAAGAUAAAAAUUAAUUAAAAUUACAUAAAUAAAAAACAUUAAAUAAUAUUCAAAAAUUAAAAUUAACCCUUACCAUUAUCAUUUGUUUGACAGAGAUAUGUUUAUGAUCGAGACGAAUUAAUUUCUUGGCCAUUGCUAAUACUAUCAAAUAUUUUUAAAAGUAUAAAAAAACCAACACUAAUUUAGAAAAAAAUUAAAGGAAAUAAUUAAUUAAAGAGAGCUUUGAGAAAUUUAGGGAGAAAUUUGAGAGCUUUUUUGCCAAAUUUUGAAGAAAUAUUGUAUGAAAAAUAUAGGAGGGGUUUUAUAGUUUUUUUUUACCGUUGGACCCGCCAAUGGUCAAAAAAAUCAAAUAGCCAUUGGGAAAAAAAAAACGGAGCAAAACGCGCCACUGGGGGAGUGAUUUUGCCACGUUAGCAAAACGCUUCAAUGUCAGCGUGUUUUGUGCUGACAUGGCAAAAUCACUUCCCAAGGGUGCGUUUUGCUAAAAUUUCACCCAAAAAUGCUUUUACGUGAACGCCUUUUGUCAUUAUCGGCCUUUUCUGAUAAAUAAUGAAAAAGUUGACCUAUUUUCAUAAAUAAAAUUAAAAAUAGGCUUAAAGGUAAAUUAUUCCAAAUAACAUAAUUCCAGAUAAAAAAUAUCAUAAAUAAUUCAAAAUUUAGGCAGGGGAAUAGCAAGACGCCGGUCCCAACUUCAUACCAUUAAAUUGAUUGAAAAAAGAAGAAAAACUCCGACUUUGAACCUCUGACCAAAACCAACCAAAUGAAAAAUCUUAUUCUUUGUCGAAUAAACCAACGUUGAAAAGAUGUUUUAUUUUGGCAUGAUUUGUGCAUUUCU